AACACCCGUGUACAAGCAUUUUACGAGACGCUUGAUUACGAUCAGCAGGAGCGCGUCGUCUAUGCAAAGUGGCUCGAUGGCCGCCCGAUGACGCCCCGACAGCAACUUCCGACAUGUCCUGAAGGGAACUGCAUGAGCGUCAUUCGCAUCAAAGACGUCCGCGUGCUCUCGGACAACAAAUACAAACUACGUUCGACAACCUUCGACUGGCGGCGCUCCAGCGGCGAAUGGCAAACACAGCAUCG
rnacentral:misc_RNA from 1 species